UACGUAGGAGGCAAGCGUUGUCCGGAAUUACUGGGCGUAAAGCGCGUGUAGGUGGUGGGACAAGUCUGCUGUGAAAGCGCCUGGCUUAACCGGGCGAGGUCGGCGGAAACUGUCCGACUCGAGGACGGUAGAGGGGGGUGGAAUUCCCGGUGUAGUGGUGAAAUGCGUAGAGAUCAGGAGGAACACCGGUGGCGAAGGCGGCCUACUGGGCCAGCACUGACGCUGAGGCGCGAAAGCUCGGGGAGCGAACGGG
rnacentral:rRNA from 1 species